UGGGGAAUAUUGGACAAUGGGCGCAAGCCUGAUCCAGCCAUGCCGCGUGAGUGACGAAGGCCUUAGGGUUGUAAAGCUCUUUUGGCGGGGACGAUAAUGACGGUACCCGCAGAAUAAGCCCCGGCUAACUUCGUGCCAGCAGCCGCGGUAAUACGAAGGGGGCUAGCGUUGUUCGGAAUUACUGGGCGUAAAGCGCACGUAGGCGGAUGUGCCAGUCAGGGGUGAAAUCCCGAGGCUCAACCUCGGAACUGCCUCCGAUACAGCACGUCUCGAGUCCGGAAGAGGUGAGUGGAAUUCCUAGUGUAGAGGUGAAAUUCGUGGAUAUUAGGAAGAACACCAGUGGCGAAGGCGGCUCACUGGUCCGGUACUGACGCUGAGGUGCGAAAGCGUGGGGAGCAAACAGGAUUAGAUACCCUCGUAGUCCCUGAGCGGGCUGGCAAGGCGCAU
rnacentral:rRNA from 1 species